AUUGAACGCUGGCGGCAGGCCUAACACAUGCCAGUCGAGCGGAUGAAGGGAGCUUGCUCCUGGAUUCAGCGGCGGACGGGUGAGUAAUGCCUAGGAAUCUGCCUGGUAGUGGGGGAUAACGUCCGGAAACGGGCGCUAAUACCGCAUACGUCCUGAGGGAGAAAGUGGGGGAUCUUCGGACCUCACGCUAUCAGAUGAGCCUAGGUCGGAUUAGCUAGUUGGUGGGGUAAAGGCCUACCAAGGCGACGAUCCGUAACUGGUCUGAGAGGAUGAUCAGUCACACUGGAACUGAGACACGGUCCAGACUCCUACGGGAGGCAGCAGUGGGGAAUAUUGGACAAUGGGCGAAAGCCUGAUCCAGCCAUGCCCGUGUGUGAAGAAGGUCUUCGGAUUGUAAAGCACUUUAAGUUGGGAGGAAGGGCAGUAAGUUAAUACCUUGCUGUUUUGACGUUACCAACAGAAUAAGCACCGGCUAACUUCGUG
rnacentral:rRNA from 1 species